rnacentral:lncRNA from 1 species
GCGUCUGAAUGGGACCCGGGAGGGGAGGCGGCUCGGUCCUUCGUGCCGUCCUCCCCGCUGGGAGGGGCAGCUCCAGCUCCGCUCGGCUCGCUCCGCCCGGCCACACCGGCUUUUUCCCCAUCAGGCGGUCCGAGUGCGGCUCCUCGCGAGCCUGCAAAGGAGCAGCAGGCGGUUCCUUUUCGGACGACCUGGAGCGAGGCCUGCGGGACUGCGCGCCCCGGCGGGCGGCGUGCGGCUCCCGGCAUGCGCGGCGGCUGCGUUCCCGCCGCCUCCGAGCUCGCCUGGGGCUGCCGCCCGCCUCCUGCCGGGCCCUCGGGCUCGCCCGGCACCGCGGGGCUUGAUCAGGGAGAUAUUUUAGUACAACAUCUUUUCAUCACAGAAAUGAUAUCUUCAGGGAAAAGACUUCGAAAAAGUGCCUGAAGUGACACAACACAUGUUUUCUUCUGGUAUCUGGCUAAAGCCUUCUCUUCUAAGCAGCAUAAACUACUGCUGCCUACAUGUUGCCUGUUCAUAAAGGCUGAGGCAGGGGAGUCGCUUGAACUCGGGAGGCGGAGGUUGCAGUGAGCCGAGAUCAUGCCAUUUCCCUCCA